rnacentral:tRNA from 1 species
GGAAGCUGUGGCUUAGUGGUAAAGCACCUGCUUGGCAUGCAGAAGGACCCAGGUUCAAUCCCCAGCACCCCCC